GCACCUUCUGCUCUUCUUGGGUUGGGGCUCCAAGGCUACAAGCUGUCAGGUGCCCUUAGCCCGGGUGAAAUCAAUGACAACUCGGGAGUCUAGGCCUGAUCCUGCCAGGAGAUUUAACAAGCAUCCUUGCCUAGGCUGUCAGCUCAGUGAAAGUGAGGUCAAUCUGACCACACUUUUCCUAAAGGAUCCUCUUCUGAACCAUCUGCUUGAGUAUACAUCUCCUGACAAAUCAAUGGCAGAAUCGAGAGGUUGGGAUGAAUACCAUUCAGGAACAAAAGAACAAGUGAAUAAAGUAUCCUAAGCAAUUUUUGCAAAGAAUACACAUUUUUAAGUUGUUCUGGAGAUGAUAAAGAUUGGACCUUAGCACCAGCAACCUCCAGCAGACUGCAAUGGCUCUGCCUUUAAUACACUUCCACCCCUGUGUGUUAUACAGCCAUAAUACUGAACACAUGAGGCAGACAGCUGCCCUGAGGCAUUCUCUGUAAAAACUUUCAUAUCACAACGGAACUGAACGCACCAUUAUAACACCACGUCUCCUCUUCUUCACGCUGCUGCUUCCGCAUAACUGAGACCUGUUUAGUGCAAAUGAAAGCAGUUUUCUGGAUGAAGCAACCUUUUCCUUUUCCUCAGAGUCUUGGGCUCCACAUCCACUCCCUGCCAGGACAGGUGCGUCCCACACAGUUUGUGUCCAGCCUUCCUCUAUCAGGCAUGCUGUAUCUUCUGCCGAUUUUUUCAGCCCACAGUAAGUCAACCUGGGCAUAGCUGAAGGAAUACCAAAACAGGUGCAGCCCAGGAAUGUGUGACCAGCUAGGAAUUAUCCCCAUCUUGUCCUCUCCCAUAGAAGGCUACUUAAAACUCUUGGAUGAACAUCAACCAGCUGUUAUCCAAUGAACAGAAAUUAAAUAUGCAGUGGGGGGCAGGGUGAGGGGAAUUAGCCUGCCCAUACAGCCUACACGUGGAUGUGAGAAAAAGGGUUUGUAUCGUCCUUGUCAGCCAGUCUCUGCCCUACUGGUCCAAGACAGCAUCCUGAUUUUCUGAACAUGUCAUCUGGCAACUCUGGUGGAUAUCUUUGCGUGAAUCUGAGGGAAGAAUGUGCUUGUUCAAAGGAAGGCUUUGGCUCUGUCAGAAGCAGGCUCUGUGCUAAAGAUUUGUUACUCUAUAACAAAGGGGGGCCACUGAUUUGCAGACACAGCUUGCACUGAUGUCAACAAAAGCUGCACAUAGAGUUCAAGUGUGCACUGAGGCUCUUUGCCUCUAAUUCAUCUCAGGGCUUGCCUUAUUUUAAUAUAUACAACUUUGAGCUGAAUGAGAUCGGGAUGGAUUUUUAAAGAUGUUGGCUACAGAUCCAUGCUGACGAGAGGUGAGAAAAUACUUGCCGUUCCAUGGACAAGUCGAAAACCUGCCUGAGCAAACUGCCAGUUCAACUGUUUGUAAAGCGGCCACAGACCAGGGAAUUGCCGCGUGCAACUGAGUGUCAAAUACUUGCCUGGCGUGUUUUGGCAUCAUUUCAUCUUCUUCUGCAGAGGCAUGCUGAUUUUCAUCAGCUUAAAAUCAAGUUUUAAAGUGCACGUAACCAUUUUGAAGCCCUGUCCACAUUUUUUUUUCCUGUUUUCUCCAGGGUAGCAGUUUAAUUUCACUGGGAUGCUUCUAUAUUGUUUUUCUUCUUCUUUUAGAAUAUAGACAUGAUGAAAAUUGCAGAGCUGGGGUAAUGAACACUAUGUUAAAGUGUAAUUUCAGAAGGAGAGUACCGUAAUUCUGCACUGGGCAGUAUAAAUGAAGUUUUAUUAAAAUAGCCAUUUUACAUACUAAAAAAAGCAUGCUUCUUUACUGCCUUUAAGAACAUUUAUUUAUGUAUAUAUUUAAUACUUAUAUUCAGUGCUUUGAAGACUGGUAAAUACAUUAACAAACAAGAGUUGCAUUGCUAUUAAAACAAAUAAGGAAAACUGGAAAUAUUCUCAAGAAGCCACACAGCAGGGAGAGGGGAAAAAAUGGUAAGCCAGAGUGCAGCCAGAUCUUGAAGUCUCUAGAGACCAAAGAAGAACUUACCUUGAGCUAUAAGCAUGCUGUGCAGCAGAGUACACUUUACCUCCCUGGCUACUACUACCGAUGCAAUGUAGGUGCCUCAGCAUCUGGUCUCGUACAUCAAACCAGGUCUCAUACACCUCUGAGGGAUUUCUGCCAUUGUAUGACGUGUCCCCUUCUUGUCUGCUUGUGGAUUACUCCAGGUUUAUAGUUACUCGCCCAAGAGCACCCAGAAUGUGCAUACUUGGCUAAGAGCAAGUUGGCUUCUCUCCAGUGGUGCGUCUAGUUGUGGAGAUGUACUUUCUUAACCUGGGCCUAAUAGAACUGAAUUCUGUUUGUUUCAGACUACCUAAGGGAAAACACUGACUUGCAGUGUGGGCAAUUCUUAGAUUUAAAGCACUAACUUCUUGCAUACUUUGCUCCUCCAAGAAGACCUCGUACUCUAGAAAUAUUCUUUGCAUCAGGUGAGGGCUGGCUGGAGCCAUUGGUCUUCUGCAGAACUGCUUUUGACCUGGUGAGUACUUACUGAUUAAUGUUAGGAGGUACUGAAGUUGUGUGUGUCAUAAAGCCAUGUUGUUUAGUUUCCUGUGUUGUAACCAUAUACUGGUAGUCAUGAGCUAGUAGUUAGCAGAGAUGAUCAGGUCUGAACAGACACUGAUCCAUUGUCUCACAUUCAGAGAGGAUUCCUUUGUGUCAGCUAGGAACUAUUGCAUAUGGCAGGGCUACACCACCUAACUCUAGGGCUGGAGAUGGCACAGCCUUUUCACUCUAGGGAUCUAUAUGUUUUAGUUGCAUGCUCAGAUGAGUUUCAUUCCCUGGAAGGAUGUUGUUAUCUUCCUGCAAGCUACUCCUAGAGUGCCCCUCAUCUUAGCUCUCUAACAUACUCAGUAUACUUCCAAAAAAGGCUUAGGCAUGUGGCUAGUAGGGUCUGGAAAGUUGGAAUAUUCUCUGCUGUCAAUCCAACACUGCUCACAAACACUGUGUUCUCACUUGAUGUUGUUAAAAGACCAAAGCGGCCACCAUAAUUGAAAACAGUAUCAGUUAGGCAUUCAGGCUGAAGGUCUGUUUUCCAUGUUAAUCACUGCUAAAUUAGUUGUGUUGUUACUGAGUAGGGAAUUAAGAUUAAGAUUUUCAAAGUCUUCAGCAUUAAAUUACCAGUCACUGUCCCACACUGUCAUUUUGGUUAUGCAAUUAAACAGUCUCCGGGAGAGCAUUUAAGAAGAAACUAGGGCAUGCAUUUCCACAAACCAUUUCACAUCCAUACUUUUUUAUAGAAAGCUGAAGAAAAAAAUUAAUUUCAAUAAAAUGUUAGAUCAAUGUUUCAUGCCACAGAGCAUGAGAUAAUUUGCACAGCCAGAAUGUCCAUCUACAUUAAAACUGAGCUUGUUUCAGCUGUAGAGUCUAACACAAGUACCCAUUGGCUUUGCAACUCCUAGUCUGUACACUUGGAGGAUGAAUACUGUUGUAAGCAAUUCCAUUCCAUUUUUAAUUUUCCCUGGCGGUAGCAAAUAGGAGGAUCAUUCACCUUCUUGACAUAAACUGUUAUGUUUUUGUGCUUUUUUUCAAUAGCUGCCAUAUUAACAGAAAUGGAUGCAUUCUAGCAGGAAGUAGAAUUAUUUAGCCACAUAUGUGUGCUCCUUUUGCUCAUAUACUAUAUUAUAUUCUAAUUUUUAAGUGAUUGUCAUUAGUUUACUAACAAAUUAUUUUUCUUAUUUCAGACUGAGAACAGCGAUAACAUUUUAUAAGCACUAAGAAUAUCCAGGCAUCCCAAAUAUCUCUUUGUCACAGUUUUGUGUAUUCUAAGUUGCUUUAUCAGUCAUUAAAGCUCAGCUUGCAGUACUUAACAAUCUUGGCCUUGAUCCUAUAAGUAUGCAUAUGCCUUGCUUUAUGCAUAUAAGCACUCCCAUUGAAAUCAAUAUUCAUCCACAUUACAUUAAGUACAUGCAUAAGUGUUUGCAGGAUUGAGGCUGCCUUUUUUUUUAACUUUUUUUUUUUUUUUUUUUUUCUUCCCUGUAUUCAUACUACUUUCUGCCUGGUAUCUAUUGUAGUCUUUUGAGUAAAUGAUUCAUAGGCUGAAUAGGGCUCUUCAGAUCUCAUUCCUAACUGAAUUAUACAAUUCCUCGUGUAGUGCCAGAACCCACUCAAGUAUUUUCAGUCUUCACAUUCACUUCUACUAUUCUGAGCCUCCACCUGGGAGCAAAACUGAAUUUUGUGGCAAUGACAUAAGAUUCAAGGGGUAUAUGCAGGGAAGUGCUGAGGACUAAGAGUGGUUGGUAAGGGUGGGGUGGAUGAGGAACUAGAAAAGCCAGGGCAGGAUUUGGAGAGCAACAUGUGUUGCAGGCAUGAUCUGUGAUGUUUCAGCAGAGUGCUGCGUUGUGGAAAGAGGCAGAGAGAAACCAUGCAGUUUCCGGGGGAGGGAGGGAGGGAGGACCGCUGUUCUUAGUGACUAUAUACUUUGCCUGGUCCUAAGUUUUUCCUAUCAUGUGGAUCAUAGAAUCAUAUUGAAUGAUAUGAUGGAAUCAUAGAAUGGCUUGUGUUGGAAGGGAUCUUAAAGAUCAUCUAGUUCCAACCCCCUGCCAUGGGCAGG